rnacentral:lncRNA from 1 species
GCCUGUUUCCAUAGAAACUGGGUAGGCUGUGCAGUGCAAGAAUCGGAGGGGAGACAGGAGCAGGAAGGAGGGACCAAGCCUUAGGGACAGCCCCCGAUGAAAGGACCGAGAGAAACGGGGAGCUGCCCCAUGCAAACUGAGGGUGGGACCCCGAUUUGGGGAACCAGGCGGGAUGGAGCGUGGAGUGGGGGGAAGAGGUAGCAAAAGCUUGGUAGCUGGCUUUGCUGCCUCCUGAGGAAGGGGCACAGAAUCUCCCCUUCCCUGCCACAGGUAGUGGGGGUUCCUCCCUCCCCACCCCCUUAAAAUCCUUCUUUACCAGGAACUGCCUGAUCCAGAUGAAUCUCUUCUCCGGGGCCCACUAGUCUCUAAGAAAGGGACCAUGGAAUUCCUUUCUUCCCCGAAGAGCUCCCCACUCUCCCUGACCAGAGUCUCCUUGAUCUGGAGGCUGGGCAGCCCCCGGGGACCCGGUGGCCGCCGCUGACCCCGUGGCAUGCGGCUCUCAAAGGCCCCAUUCAUCUCUGGGGGCUGAAGGCGCCAUUGUCCCCAGCGGGGGGUGGUGUGGGGAGUGAAGGGGUCUGGACUCAGAAGGAAGGAAUGCGUCUGGAGAAGUUGCCCCCGGGGCUCCAGUCUCAAGGUCCCCACCAGAUCUCCAUCGGGACCCUUUCACGACCCCGAGCCCUUUCCCCAGGAGCUCCCAGCAACCUUCGCGCUUCUCCGGAGGGUGGGGUCUGCCGCGGCGCGGGGGCAGCCUCACCCCACCUCACUGCUGGACUCCGGAGAACCAUUUCUGGGACCGGGAGCUGUCCAGCGCCUCGGGUCCUGACGGACCGCUGAUUCGCCUAGGUGCCAUCGGACAAGCGGGUGCUCAGAGCCAGCUCUGGUGGCUCGGGAGCUUUCCCCCAACCAGGCUAAGACCACUAAACCACGCCUGGCCCGGAUGAGCUUGGAUGCAGCUCCGAACGUGGGGAUCCAUCGGUGCUGAGAACUGACCUAGGGAGCACCUUGACCCCUGCCCUAUCUGGGCACAAUUGAAGGGCCAAGUGCCACCAGCCCACUUUCCUGGAACCCUGUCUCAGACUUGGGCAGGAAGAAGAGCCAUGAGAGUAGGUCAUGAAAUCCUCAUUCCAGAGAUACCCUCCCUAUACUGAAGAAAAGGGACUUCCUUGUUCUUGAAGGCAGAAGAAUCUGAACAGGACUUGCUAAGUCCCCUACCACCAGUUUAUUACCAUUAGAUCACACCCCUUUUGUCCUAUCAUACUUCUGCAUGAGUGACCACUUCUACUCUUCCUCAAACCUAAGCCUAAAUAAAUACACAAGUUUUCCUGUUUUGGGGGGGUCUUCAUUUCCUUAUGAAGGCUCCUGUGUCAUGUAAACCUUAUAUUAAAUACAUUUGCAUACUUUUCUCUUCUUAAUCUGUUUUUUAUUAUUGGAAUCUUGGCCAUGAACCUAGAAGUGGAUGAGAAAAUAAAUCUUUUCUCUCCAACACAACACUGACUUUUUUUUUCUUUGUUUCUCCAAGGAGUCAGUCAUUUCACAACUAUUUGAGGGCCUAGUUCAGUGCAGGAAAACAGAAACUACUCUAGGU